UGGUUCUGGCAUCGAUGAAGAACGCAGCGAAAUGCGAUAAGUAAUGUGAAUUGCAGAAUUCAGUGAAUCAUCGAAUCUUUGAACGCACAUUGCGCCCCCUGGUAUUCCGGGGGGCAUGCCUGUUCGAGCGUCAUUUCACCAAUCAAGCAACGCUUGGCAAUGGGCGCCAGGCCCGCCCCCCCGAGGGCGGGCCCGCCCGGAACGCAUCGGCGAGCGGACCGACCCCCGGCGUGUUGAGAAUCCUCCAGGUUCGAGACGUCGGGAGCACCGGCCCCCUCCGCCGCCAAAACAAACCCCCAAAAGGUUGACCUCGGAUCAGGUAGGGAUACCCGCUGA
rnacentral:misc_RNA from 1 species